AGAGCGGCCUCGCCGCACCAUAGAGAGAGAACCAGCGGGGGCGGGACCGGGCCACGGCCGGGCUCGGAGCGGGAACCGUGAGGGGAAAGCAUGGCGGGAGAGCCGGGACGGGGAACGGGAAGGGGGAAGAGGAGCGGGAGCUAUGGCGGGACGUCAGUGUGAGAGGCCUGAGGCGGAACCAUGGCGGGACCCCUGAGGGGAAACCAUGGCGGGACCCCUGAGGGGAAAUCAUGGCGGCACCCCUGAGGGGAAACCACGGCGGGACCCCUGAGGGGAAACCGGAUCGGGAUUCCUGAGGAGAAAUCAUGGCCGGACCCCUGAGGGGAAACCGGAUCGGGAUUUCUGAGGGGGAAUCAUGGCGAGACCCCUGAGGGGAAACCGGAGAGGGAUCCCUGAGGAGGAAACCAUGGCGGAACCCCUGAGGGGAAACCGGAGAGGGACCAAUGGCGGCACCUCUGAGGGGAAACCAUGGCGGCCUUCCUGAGGGGGAAUCAUGGCGGGACCCCUGAGGGGAAAGCGGAGAGGGAUUCCUGAGGGGAAAACCAUGGCGGAAUUCCUGAGGGGAAACCGGAGAAGAAGCCCUGAGGGGGAAUCAUGGCGGGAUCCCUGAAGGGGAACCGGAGACAGGGCCCUGACCGGGAUCCAUGAGGGAGAAUCAUGGCGGGACCCCACAGGGACCCUAAAAAAAGCCGAAUUCGCCGUUUCCCUUCCCGCUUUUUCCAUCCCGGCGCUAGGACCGAGCCCGAGGGCGGCCAUACCACGUCCGGUGUCCUUCCCAUUUCCGUUGCCGGAACUUUUUUUGCCACUUUUUCCCAUCUCGAGCCCCGUUGGAAGUUCCGGAGCUUCUCCCUCACGGAUCCGCCGCCAUCUUGGAGCUCGUGUGGAGAUUAAAUCAUUUCCGCUUUUUUUUUGUGUGUUUUAUUCCGGGUGUUGUUGAUAUUUAUUGUAAAUAUUUGUGUUGAUAAAAUGUUUAUGUUUUUCUCCUUUUUA